rnacentral:rRNA from 1 species
UACGGAGGGUGCAAGCGUUAUCCGGAUUCACUGGGUUUAAAGGGUGCGUAGGCGGAUCUGUAAGUCAGUGGUGAAAUCUCCGAGCUUAACUCGGAAACUGCCGUUGAUACUAUAGAUCUUGAAUGUUGUGGAGGUUAGCGGAAUAUGUCAUGUAGCGGUGAAAUGCAUAGAUAUGACAUAGAACACCAAUUGCGAAGGCAGCUGGCUACACAAAUAUUGACGCUGAGGCACGAAAGCGUGGGGAUCAAACAGG